rnacentral:rRNA from 1 species
UACGGGGGGGGCAAGCGUUGUUCGGAAUUACUGGGCGUAAAGCGCACGUAGGCGGCUUCUUAAGUCGGUGGUGAAAUCCUGGAGCUCAACUCCAGAACUGCCUUCGAUACUGGGAAGCUCGAGUCCGGGAGAGGUGAGUGGAACUGCGAGUGUAGAGGUGAAAUUCGUAGAUAUUCGCAAGAACACCAGUGGCGAAGGCGGCUCACUGGCCCGGUACUGACGCUGAGGUGCGAAAGCGUGGGGAGCGAACAGG